CUCAACAAACCAUAAGGACAUUGGUACUUUAUACUUCAUAUUUGGAGCAUGAGCAGGAAUAGUAGGAACAUCAAUAAGAAUACUUAUUCGUGCUGAACUUGGCCAACCCGGAUCUCUAAUUGGGGAUGACCAGAUUUAUAAUGUUAUUAUUACAGCUCACGCAUUCGUAAUAAUUUUCUUUAUAGUAAUACCUAUUAUAAUUGGUGGAUUUGGUAAUUGACUUGUUCCACUAAUAAUUGGUGCACCAGAUAUAGCAUUUCCACGAAUAAAUAAUAUAAGUUUUUGAUUACUACCACCUUCACUAACCCUUCUUCUUACAUCUUCUAUAGUAGAUAAUGGUGCUGGUACAGGAUGAACAGUUUACCUUCCUCUAGCAGGAGCUAUUGCACACGGGGGUGCAUCUGUAGAUCUAGCUAUUUUUUCACUGCACUUAGCAGGUGUAUCAUCUAUUCUUGGUGCAGUGAAUUUCAUUACAACAGCAAUUAAUAUACGAUCAGAAAGUAUAACUUUAGAUCAAACACCUUUAUUUGUAUGAUCUGUAGCUAUUACAGCAUUACUUCUCCUUCUUUCACUUCCAGUUUUAGCAGGAGCUAUUACUAUAUUAUUAACAGAUCGAAAUUUAAAUACAUCAUUCUUUGACCCUGCAGGAGGGGGUGACCCAAUUCUAUAUCAACAUCUAUUUUGAUUCUUUGGACACCCAGAAGUUUAUAUUUUAAUUCUACCGGGGUUCGGAAUUAUUUCACAUAUUGUAUGUCAAGAAAGAGGAAAAAUUGAAUCAUUUGGAACAUUAGGUAUAAUUUAUGCUAUACUAUCAAUUGGACUAAUAGGAUUUAUUGUAUGAGCACAUCAUAUAUUUACAGUAGGAAUGGAUGUUGACACACAAGCAUAUUUUACAUCAGCAACAAUAAUUAUUGCUGUACCUACAGGAAUUAAGGUAUUUAGAUGAUUAGCUACAUUAUAUGGAACUAAAUUCAAGUUCAAUCCACCAUUAUUAUGAGCUCUAGGAUUUAUUUUCCUAUUUACAAUUGGUGGAUUAACAGGAUUAGUAUUAGCAAAUUCAUCACUUGAUAUUGUAUUACAUGAUACAUAUUAUGUAGUAGCCCACUUUCAUUAUGUAUUAUCUAUAGGAGCAGUAUUUGCAAUUAUAGGAGGUGUCAUUCAAUGAUAUCCACUAUUUACAGGAUUAACUAUAAAUAAUACAUGAUUAAAAAUCCAAUUUACAAUUAUAUUCACUGGAGUAAAUUUAACAUUCUUUCCUCAACACUUCCUAGGAUUAGCAGGAAUACCUCGACGAUACUCUGACUACCCAGACGCAUAUACAUCAUGAAACGUAGUAUCAAGAAUUGGGUCUACAAUUUCUAUUGUAGGAAUCAUUAUAUUCAUUGUAAUUAUAUGAGAAAGAAUGAUUACAAACCGAGCAAUUAUAUUUAGAGCUAACAUAAGAAGAUCAACAGAAUGACUACAAAAUAACCCUCCUGCAGAACAUAGUUACUCAGAAUUACCAUUAAUCUCUAGAUUCUAAUAUGGCAGAUUAGUGCA